AAGGAAUUAUCAUUAGCCAGCAAAUAGGAAAGGCAGGAAGUGGAAGGAGCAAAUUUGCAAAUCAAGACGAGGGACGGAGAGAGAGAGAGAGAGAGAGAGAGAAAGUGACACGAUGAGCUACACCUUAACGACGCUGACGAAGAAGAAGGAUAUAGACGCUAUCAUCAAAGACACCAUCGACAAGGUCCUCGUCCUUCGCUUUGGCCGCGCCUCUGAUGCCGUCUGCCUUCACCUCGACGACUUGCUAUCAAAAUCUGCUCGAGAGGUUUCCAAAUUUGCAACUAUAGCAUUAGUAGAUAUUGAUUCAGAGGAUGUUCAAGUUUACGUCAAAUAUUUCGAUAUUUCUUUGGUGCCUUCUACCGUUUUUUUCUUCAAUGCUCAUCAUAUGAAGAUGGAUUCUGGAACUGCUGAUCAUACUAAAUGGAUUGGUGCCUUCCACACAAAACAAGAUUUCAUUGACGUAGUGGAGGUCUCUUAGUAGAGUGCAUAUGGAGGUUGAUUGCUUAUCUGCUUAGUAAGCAAUUUUUUAUCAGAGGUCCUCAAUGAUGGUUUCAGACUGCUUAGCUCAUUUUCCCUAUAUGAACUUAGAGGCUAUAUUUAGGGGGGCAAUGAAAGGCAAAAUGAUUGUGAAUUGUCCUCUGCCUCCGGAGCGGAUACCAAAAUAUCAGUUGUUAUACAAGGACUUGUAAAUGUAAUCUCUAUAGGUCUUAUGUAAUUUGUAGGCUUACAUUGUACCGCACUUAUGAUUCUCCAAUGUCAUUUUUGAACGUAUAUGAUUACAAGUAUAACUAAAUUUUGCCUUCUUUUGUU